AGAGUUUGAUCCUGGCUCAGGACGAACGCUGGCGGCGUGCUUAACACAUGCAAGUCACGGGGGCCCGCAAGGGCAACCGGCGAACGGGUGCGUAACACGUGAGCAACCUGCCUUUGUGUGGGGGAUAGCCGGGCUAACGCCCGGGNUAAUACCGCAUACGGUCACCGGGAGGAGUCUCCUGGUGAAGAAACCUCCGGGGCACAAAGAGGGGCUCGCGGCCUAUCAGCUAGUUGGCGGGGUAAUGGCCCACCAAGGCGACGACGGGUAGCUGGUCUGAGAGGAUGGCCAGCCACAUUGGGACUGAGACACGGCCCAGACUCCUACGGGAGGCAGCAGUGGGGAAUCUUGCACAAUGGGGGCAACCCUGAUGCAGCGACGCCGCGUGGAGGAUGAAGGAUCUAGGUCUGUAAACUCCUUUUUCACGGAAAGACUUAGGACGGUACCGUGAGAAUAAGCUCCGGCUAACUACGUGCCAGCAGCCGCGGUAAGACGUAGGGAGCAAGCGUUGUCCGGAUUUACUGGGCGUAAAGGGCGCGUGGGCGGUCUGUUAAGUGAGUACUGAAAUCUCCAGGGCUUAACCCGGAAACUGGUUCUCAUACUGGCAGACUGGAGGAAGGCAGAGGUAACUGGAAUUCCUGGGUGUAGCGGUGAAAUGCGUUGAUAUCAGGAGGAACUCCAAUGGCGAAGGC
rnacentral:rRNA from 1 species